rnacentral:rRNA from 1 species
AACGAACGCUGGCGGCAGGCCUAACACAUGCAAGUCGAACGAGAAGCCACCUUCGGGUGGUGGACAGUGGCAGACGGGUGAGUAACGCGUGGGAACGUACCUUUUGGUUCGGAAUAACGCAGAGAAAUUUGCGCUAAUACCGAAUGAGCCCUUCGGGGGCAAGAUUUAUCGCCGAAAGAUCGGCCCGCGUUGGAUUAGGUAGUUGGUGUGGUAAGGGCGCACCAAGCCUACGAUCCAUAGCUGGUCUGAGAGGAUGAUCAGCCACACUGGGACUGAGACACGGCCCAGACUCCUACGGGAGGCAGCAGUGGGGAAUCUUGCGCAAUGGGCGAAAGCCUGACGCAGCCAUGCCGCGUGAAUGAUGAAGGUCUUAGGAUUGUAAAAUUCUUUUACCAGGGACGAUAAUGACGGUACCUGGAGAAAAAGCCCCGGCUAACUUCGUGCCAGCCGCCGCCGUAAUAC